rnacentral:snoRNA from 1 species
CAGGUAAAACAGGCCUUUAGAACUAUUAUCCAGGACUCACUGAUUACUUGAUGACAAUAAAAUAUCUGAUAGCCUA